GACGAACGCUGGCGGCGUGCCUAAUACAUGCAAGUUGAGCGCUGAAGGUUGGUACUUGUACCAACUGGAUGAGCAGCGAACGGGUGAGUAACGCGUGGGGAAUCUGCCUUUGAGCGGGGGACAACAUUUGGAAACGAAUGCUAAUACCGCAUAAAAACUUUAAACACAAGUUUUAAGUUUGAAAGAUGCAAUUGCAUCACUCAAAGAUGAUCCCGCGUUGUAUUAGCUAGUUGGUGAGGUAAAGGCUCACCAAUGCGAUGAUACAUAGCCGACCUGAGAGGGGGAGGAGCCAAAUUGGGACUGGGACCGGGCCCAAACACCUACGGGAGGCGGCAGUGGGGAAUCUUGGGCAAUGGACGAAAGUCUGCCCGAGCAAGGCCGCGGAAGUGAAAAAGUUUUUCGGAUCAUAAACCUCUGUUGGUAGGGAAGAACGUGGGUAGGAGUGGAAAGCACAUCCAGGGGGGGAAAAAACCGAGAAAGGGGGGGCAAACUACAU
rnacentral:rRNA from 1 species